GUGGGGAAUCUUCCGCAAUGGACGAAAGUCUGACGGAGCAACGCCGCGUGAGUGAAGAAGGUUUUCGGAUCGUAAAGCUCUUUCGUUAGGGACGAACGUGCUCUUUGUGAAUAAUGAGGAGUAAUGACGGUACCUAAAUAAGAAGCCACGGCUAACUACGUGCCAGCAGCCGCGGUAAUACGUAGGUGGCAAGCGUUGUCCGGAAUUAUUGGGCGUAAAGCGCGCGCAGGCGGGAUAUCAAGUCUGUCUUAAAAGUGCGGGGCUCAACCUCGUGAGGGGACAGAAACUGGUAUUCUUGAGUGUCGGAGAGGAAAGUGGAAUUCCAAGUGUAGCGGUGAAAUGCGUAGAGAUUUGGAAGAACACCAGUGGCGAAGGCGACUUUCUGGACGAUGUCUGACGCUGAGGCGCGAAAGCUAGGGGAGCGAACGGGAUUAGAAACCCCGGUAGUCC
rnacentral:rRNA from 1 species